rnacentral:ncRNA from 1 species
AGCGAAGCUGUUUAGAGUCUGUAGAAUUAUGCCCUGUUUAUACAGAAAUGCACCGGCAUGGACGCCGGGGCAAGGCGUUAUGUGCCAUGGACGGCACAUAAAAGCCGGUUUCGUCGAGCAUAGAAAAACUAUGAGCAUAAUUCGUACAGCCUCUUAAUAGCGUAGC